AGCUUUGCCCAGUAGCAGUAUCAUAGUCAAUGAGGUUCAUCUGAGGCACGAUUAUUGUUAAUUGAACUUUUCCUAUACCCCACCAUGAUGACUUGAAAUACACUUGGCAUUGGUAAUUUUUGACAGUCUCUACAAAGA